CGCCUGCUUCUUUUUUUUCAGGUAGAUUCUGCCCAAUGAUCUAUUAAAUGGCCGCAGUAUCCUAACUGUGCUAAGGUAGCAUAAUAAUUUGUCUCUUAAUUGGGGACUGGAAUGAAUGAACUGACGAGGAGGCUUCUGUCUCAGAGGGGAAUAAGAAAAUUUAUACCCAGGUAAAAAAUCCUGGGGGUUGUAGAGGGACGAUAAGACCCUAAAAGCUUUACCCUUAAAGCCUAAGACAGUAAAACCUGUUAGGCCUACUGGGUUUUCACUGGGGCGGUGAUUCUACCCAAUCUGGAAUAACUUUAAACACUCUGAGUGAAACCCACCACCUUAAUUUUAAUCGUUAACUAAGUUACUUUAGGGAUAACAGCGCAAUUUUCUGUAAGAGCUCCUAUCGACCGGAAAGAUUGCGACCUCGAUGUUGAAUUGAAGACUUGAUUAGAGCAGCAUCUAAUAAUAAGAAGACUGUUCGUCUUUAAAACCUUC
rnacentral:rRNA from 1 species